UUACCUAAGCUUGACAUCCCACUGACCUCUCCCUAAUCGGAGAGUUUCCCUUCGGGGACAGUGGUGACAGGUGGUGCAUGGUUGUCGUCAGCUCGUGUCGUGAGAUGUUGGGUUAAGUCCGCAACGAGCGCAACCCUUGCCUUUAGUUGCCAGCAUUAAGUUGGGCACUCUAGAGGGACUGCCGAGGAUAACUCGGAGGAAGGUGGGGAUGACGUCAAAUCAUCAUGCCCCUUAUGCUUAGGGCUACACACGUGCUACAAUGGGUGGUACAGAGGGUUGCCAAGCCGCGAGGUGGAGCUAAUCCCUUAAAGCCAUUCUCAGUUCGGAUUGUAGGCUGAAACUCGCCUACAUGAAGCUGGAGUUACUAGUAAUCGCAGAUCAGAAUGCUGCGGUGAAUGCGUUCCCGGGUCUUGUACACACCGCCCGUCACACCAUGGAAGUUGGGGGCGCCCGAAGCCGGUUAGCUAACCUUUUAGGAAGCGGCCGUCGAAGGUGAAACCAAUGACUGGGGUGAAGUCGUAACAAGGUAGGCGUACGUGU
rnacentral:rRNA from 1 species